GGAUUAGAUAGUUGGUGGGGCAAUGGCUCACCAAGUCUGAGAUCCCUAGCUGGUCUGAGAGGAUGAUCAGCCACAGUGGGAAUGAAAAAGACCCAAACCCAAUCUGGGGCAGCAGUGAAGAAAAUUGGACAAUGGGCGCAAGCUCGAUCCAGCAAUACCGAGUGAAGGAAUCGAAGGUGAGAUCCUCAUUGUAAAUCUCUUUAGCCAAAGAAAAGCUAAGAUUGUAUUUGGAAAAUAAGUACCGGCUAACUUCGUGCCAGCAGCCGCGGUAAAACGGAGGGUACCAGCGUUAUCCACCAUGACUGGGCGUAAAGGGCAUGCAGAUGGUAUUUUUAAAUGUUAGGUAAAAGAAGGGAGUUCAAAUCCUGGAUACCUUUUAUAUUAUAAUACUAGAGUUUGGCAAAGGUUUGGGGUACUCUCGAUGGAGGGCUGAGAUGCAGAGAGAUUGAUGGGGACCAACAGUCGGCGAAGGCACCAUUCCGGGCUAUACUGACAUUAAAAUGCUAAAGCAUAGGUAUCGAUUGGGAUUAGGGACCCCAGUAGUCUAUGCCCUAAACGAUGAGCAUUCAGCCGUAAUAUAUUUAACAGAGAAAUUUGCGGUUCGAGCUAACGUUUCAAUGCUCCGCCUGAUUAGUACGGUCGCAAGGCUGAAAUUUAAAGAAAUUGGGGGAGACUUUCACAAACGGUGAAGCAUGUUGUUUAAUUCGAUGCACCGCGCAAAACCUUACCAAUCCCGGACAGGAAAAGGAGUGAAGUUACUUUUCGUAAACUCGCCGUCAAUUUAUCUCAAUUGGUGUGGCAACUCCCAAUACAGGUGCUGCAUGGCUGUCGUCAGCCCGUGUCCGCCAGACGUCAGAUUCACUUCUGAAACGGGCGAAACCCUUAUUUUUAGUUUACCUCAUUAGAGAUUGAUAUUCUUUUCAGAGUUGAUAUUUCGCCAAAACGUAGAAAUUAAGAAACUCUACGUGGGGACGGUGACCCUGAGUUCCUUGUCCAAGCCAAAACAAGUUUGGGGAGGCAGGAGCUAAAGAUGCUGAAGCUGAGGAAUGAAAAAACUGACCGUUAGAAAAUGGUCGGAAGGAAGGGAUGAGGUCAAGCCUUCAUGGCCUUUGUGGAUUGGGCUACUUGAUGUGCUGCAAUGAUAAAUUCAAUACCGAUGCGAUGGUGUGAACUGGAGCGAAACGGUAACAUUUAUAUUAGUUCCUAUUGCUUUCUGCAAGAGAAAGCAUGCCGUAGGAAUCGUUAGUAAUCGUGAAACAGCACGUCACGGUGAAUAGUACAAGAGUCUACUACAGACUGCCCGUCACGCCAUGGGAGUUACUGGGGUUUCAAGGCGGAUAGACUAAAUUUUAAUUUAUUUCUAAAAAGUGAUGCGCAUGUCAACUUUGGAAUAGGUUGAAAUGAUCGCUAUUGUCGAGAGCUUUGGUGGUGACUGGGGUGAAGUCGUAACAUGGUAGGAGUAGGGGAACCUGC
rnacentral:rRNA from 1 species